CUUCCUGACCCAGGAAUUGAAUCCACAUCUCUUAUUGGCAGGAAAGGAAACAGUCACCCAAGUCCAGGAAGCACAGACAGUCCUAGGCAGGAUAAACUCCAGGAACGCGCCAAGACACACAGUAAUCACACUGACAAAAA